AUUUUUUAAGAUUAAUCGUCAAACAUACUAUAUGGCCAUAUUAUAUAUCAUUUGGAUUCGGAAAAAUGUGUACUUUUGAAAUAUCGAUGUCGUCAAAAAGAAUUGUGGUAACAGUUUUGCACAAAAUGAGGUCAAAGAUCAAAUUCUGUUUUAUUUUUUUUUUUCUUCUUAAUUUUCAAAAUUUAAAGAUAUAUGCAGCAAUUUAUGUUAAAUUUUAUAAACAGACAUAUUUUCUUAAUC
rnacentral:lncRNA from 1 species